GACGAACUGUCCUAACGUUGUUCGGAAUCACUGGGCUUAAAGGGCGCGUAGGCGGGCUGCCAAGUCUGGGGUGAAAUCCCACGGUUCAACCGUGGGACUGCCUCGGAUACUGGCGGCCUCGAGGGAGGUAGGGGCGUGCGGAACUGUGGGUGGAGCGGUGAAAUGCGUUGAUAUCCACAGGAACUCCGGUGGCGAAGGCGGCACGCUGGACCUCUUCUGACGCUGAGGCGCGAAAGCCAGGGGAGCAAACGGG
rnacentral:rRNA from 1 species